UAAGUUCUCACUGGGAUUUAAUCCCCUAAAGGGCCGUGGAAGACUACCACGUUGAUAGGCUGGGUGUGGAAGUGCAGUAAUGUAUGGAGCUAACCAGUACUAAUUGCCCGUGAGGCUUGACCAU
rnacentral:rRNA from 1 species